GAGUUUGUGCGUGAAUCUAA
rnacentral:snRNA from 1 species